GCUUGGGCGAGAGUAGUACUAGG
rnacentral:snRNA from 1 species